CCUACGGGGGGCAGCAGUGGGGAAUAUUGCACAAUGGGCGGAAGCCUGAUGCAGCAACGCCGCGUGAGGGACGACGGCCUUCGGGUUGAAACCUCUGCAGAAAGCGAAACGGUACCUGAAGAAAAAGCACCGGCUAACUACGUGCCAGCAGCCGCGGUAAUACGUAGGGUGCAAGCGUUGUCCGGAAUUAUUGGGCGUAAAGAGCUCGUAGGCGGUUUGUCGCGUCUGCUGUGAAAACGCGAGGCUCAACCUCGCGCCUGCAGUGGGUACGGGCAGACUAGAGUGCGGUAGGGGAGAUUGGAACUCCUGGUGUAGCGGUGGAAUGCGCAGAUAUCAGGAAGAACACCGAUGGCGAAGGCAGAUCUCUGGGCCGUACUGACGCUGAGGAGCGAAAGAGUGGGGAGCGAACAGGAUUAGAUACCCUUGUAGUC
rnacentral:rRNA from 1 species